rnacentral:rRNA from 1 species
CAGCCGCCGCGGUAAUACGGAGGGUGCAAGCAUUGAUCGGAAUUACUGGGCGUAAAGGGCUCGUAGGCUGUUUUUUAAGUCAUAUGUGAAAACCUCAGGCUCAACUUGAGGACUGCAUAUGAAACUGGAUAACUUGAGUGCAGUAGGGGAAAGUGGAAUUCCUGGUGUAGCGGUGAAAUGCGCAGAUAUCAGGAAGAACACCGGUAGCGAAGGCGGCUUUCUGGGCUGCUACUGACGCUGAGGCGCGAAAGCUAGGGGAGCAAACAGGAUUAGAUACCCUGGUAGUCCUAGCUGUAAACGAUGGACACUAGGUGUGGGAGUUAUCGACGCUUGCCGUGCCGGCAGCUAACGCAUUAAGUGUCCCGCCUGGGGAGUACGGCCGCAAGGCUAAAACUCAAAAGAAUUGACGGGGGCCCGCACAAGCGGCGGAACAUGUGGCUUAAUUCGACCCAACGCGAAGAACCUUACCAAGGCUUGACCUCCUUUUGACCAUUAUAGAAAUUUAAUUUCUCUUCGGAGCAGUGUGACAGGUGGUGCAUGGCUGUCGUCAGCUCGUGUCGUGAGAUGUUGGGUUAAGUCCCGCAACGAGCGCAACCCUUGUCCCAUGUUGCUAACAGUUUUAGCUGAGCACUCUAGGGAAGCUGCCAGCGUAAAGCUGGAGGAAGGUGGGGAUGACGUCAAGUCAUCAUGCCCUUUAUGCCUUGGGCCGCACACGUGCUACAAUGGACCGUACAAUGAGCAGCGAUACUGUGAAGUGGAGCAAAUCUCCUAAAGCGGUUCAAAGUCCGGAUUGAAGGCUGAAAUUCGCCUUCAUGAAGUAGGAGUCGCUAGUAAUCGUGGAUCAGAACGCCACGGUGAAUACGUUCCCGGGCCUUGUACACACCGCCCGUCACACCACGAAAGUUGGAUACACCCAAAGAUGGCGCACUAACCGUAAGGGGGAAGCGUGUUAGGAUGGGACCAGUGUUCGGGGUGAAGUCGUAACAAGGUAGCCGUA